rnacentral:rRNA from 1 species
AUUGAACGCUGGCGGCAUGCCUUACACAUGCAAGUCGAACGGUAACGCUGGGCAACCUGGCGACGCGUGGCGAACGGGAGAGUAAUGCAUCGGAACGUGACCAGGAGUGGGGGAUAGCCCGGCGAAAGCCGGAUUAAUACCGCAUACGACCUACGGCUGAAAGCGGGGGACCGUAAGGCCGAGCGCAAUUGAAGCGGCCGAUGCCGGAUUAGGUUGGUGGUGGGGUAAAGGCCUACCAAGCCGACGAUCUGUAGCUGGUCUGCGAGGACGACCAGCCACACUGGGACUGAGACACGGCCCAGACUCCUACGGGAGGCAGCAGUGGGGAAUUUUGGACAAUGGGGGCAACCCUGAUCCAGCCAUGCCGCGUGCGGGAAGAAGGCCUUCGGGUUGUAAACCGCUUUUGUCAGGGAAGAAACGCUCUGGGCUAAUACCCUGGGGUAAUGACGGUACCUGAAGAAUAAGCACCGGCUAACUACGUGCCAGCCGCCGCCGUAAGAC